rnacentral:rRNA from 1 species
GAUGAACGCUGGCGGCGUGCCUAAUACAUGCAAGUAGAACGCUGAAGGAGGAGCUUGCUCUUCUGGAUGAGUUGCGAACGGGUGAGUAACGCGUAGGUAACCUGCCUGGUAGCGGGGGAUAACUAUUGGAAACGAUAGCUAAUACCGCAUGACAACAGUUAUUGCAUGAUAACUGUUUAAAAGGGGCAACUGCUCCACUACCAGAUGGACCUGCGUUGUAUUAGCUAGUUGGUGAGGUAACGGCUCACCAAGGCGACGAUACAUAGCCGACCUGAGAGGGUGAGCGGCCACACUGAGACGGAGACACGGCCCAGACUCCUACGGGAGGCAGCAGUAGGGAAUCUUCGGCAAUGGACGGAAGUCUGACCGAGCAACGCCGCGUGAGUGAAGAAGGUUUUCGGAUCGGAAAGCUCUGUUGUAAGAGAAGAACGAGUGUGAGAGUGGAAAGUUCACACUGUGACGGUAGCUGACCAGAAAGGGACGGCUAACUACGUG